rnacentral:rRNA from 1 species
UACGUAGGGUGCGAGCGUUGUCCGGAAUUACUGGGCGUAAAGAGCUCGUAGGUGGUUUGUCGCGUUGUUCGUGAAAACUCACAGCUUAACUGUGGGCGUGCGGGCGAUACGGGGCAGACUGGAGUACUGCAGGGGAGACUGGAAUUCCUGGUGUAGCGGUGAAAAUGCGCAGAUAUCAGGAGGAACACCGGUGGCGAAGGCGGGACUCUGGGGCCGAUGACUGACGCUGAGGAGCGAAAGCGUGGGGAGCAAACAGG